GCCUCCGAUCCGGUCGGACCCGAGCCUCGGAAAAGCGCGAUUGGGGGGGGCCGAGGGCGGCCACAUCUCUAGGAGUGCGGGGGUGGCCGGUUAGAGCAUAGAAUUUCAAAUUCUAGCUGGCCACAUGUCUUCCCAGAAUAAAAGCAAUUUUCUCGGACUCCUUUGCAGCUAGGUAUGGUCAUAUGGCUCAUUUCCAGCCAACAGGAGCUUCCCACCACAGGAGAAUGAAAGACCAAGAAAAACUUGCUGGACACCAGGAGUCGGACCACACAAGACAUUGAAACUGUCCUGAGGGCACCUGAUUGCACCCUGCCUUCCGCCCCCAUUACAAGCCCAAGGACUCGGCCCCCGAAUCCACUCACAACAACAGCUUCCCGCUAGUGACUGCAUACAAGGAUGAAACUCCAGCUCCUGGCUGCUGCCAGCAUCACGCCAAUGUCCCCUUCCCUUUGGGUAUCCUCUCCCCCACCCUCUCCCCUUAAAUACAUUUAGCCGCUUGCAUGUACCAACCACCAUGUUAACCUUUCAGCCCAGCCCCCCUCACAUUUGGUGACUCAGCCUGUCACCUCCUAGCAUAGCGGUGGCCAAAGACCACCCUUCAAGAUGAGGUGUUGGAAUUUGAUAGCUCAGGAGGGAAUUGCCUUGCACAAGGCUCACCAAAACCCCUUUCCUUGUUUCUGGACAACUGGUGAGUGAUCCCAGCUCCAGGCGCCUGGUGGGAUCAGUUGAAGCCUCCCUUGAAAUGGCCUGACAGUUCAAUUUCUCCUCUCACCCCAUCCUGCUUCCCUCACUUCCUGCUCACACAUCUCUGGAUCAGCUUCUGUUUCCUGUGCCCUUGGCCUCCACACAUACCAUCACUUCUUCUUACAACCUCUUUUGCCUGUGUGAGGACACGCAGGGA